rnacentral:lncRNA from 1 species
AUGACAGCCAGCCUCAAAUGCUUUUCCAAUAACACACAGACACAAGCCCUGAAAUUUAUAUCAUUGAGUUACUGAAUACAUAUAUGUGCCUGGAUUUCCCUAGCAAAAAUUGGGAAGAAAACAUUUACUUUCCUUUUCCAGGCAGGGUGAGUUAAAUGGUAUGUCUGCAGCUGCGUUGCCAGGGGUCCGUGGCUUUUCAAAAGUGGGUGUCCCUACUGGCAAAAGUGGAUACGGGGGUCUGCAUGUUCCGUGGCAGCUUCCAGGAAGAAUGAGAAGUGGAUAAGAGUGGAUGGUGCAGGUCUAGAAGCAAGAAAGGUCUGAACUAAAUUGGUUGUCACCAUCAGGAAUCAAUGAUGUCAUAAGUCAUGGCUCCUGAAAUUGCAAUUUUCAUACAAUAAGUUUUAACGAAUUAAUUUUUGUUAUGUCUUGUGGUCUUUAAAUGACACACAUUUGACAGAAUGCAGUGGACAUUGACAGUACCAAGUAACACUGCUAUGGCCGAGAACAGGAGUGGCCAGGUGGCAUCUGAAAAGCUCUAGUUCCUUGGUGUGUCAUCUACAGCCAUGAGCAGCCUCAUCCAAGGCUCCUGUCGGGGUGGCCAGUAUGGAGUGAGGUCUGGAGGUGUGUCUUUGAUCCCUACGUCUGACACUCGCUGUCCACCACGAACAUCCUGUGUCACUGUGGAUCCAGGUACUGGAAGAUACUGAAGGAGUCCAUGUUCCAGGUGCCAAUAGCAGGGAUCAAGCCAGCAACUGGAUGACUCCUCCAACAAUGCAUGCAAAUUAGAGCAUCAUUAUCAUUUGAAGUGCCUGAUGGGAAAACACUCAACUGGAUUCAAAAAGCCAUUUACAUCAUUACAACAAUUUUUGAAACUUAUAUUUGUUAAUGAAUAAAGAA